rnacentral:rRNA from 1 species
UACGAAGGGGGCGAGCGUUGUUCGGAUUUACUGGGCGUAAAGGGCGCGCAGGCGGCUCGUUUUGUCAGGCGUGAAAGCCCCGGGCUUAACCUGGGAACUGCGUUUAAUACGGACGGGCUAGAGUUCGGGAGAGGAGAGUGGAAUUCCCAGUGUAGAGGUGAAAUUCGUAGAUACUGGGAAGAACACCGGUGGCGAAGGCGGCUCUCUGGACCGAGACUGACGCUGAGGCGCGAAAGCGUGGGGAGCAAACAGG